UGCGAUAGCACAUGCGGCAGAACAUGAGACUCUUAAUCUCAGGGUUCUGGGUUCAAGCCCCACAUUGGGCAA